rnacentral:rRNA from 1 species
GAUGAACGCUGGCGGCGUGCCUAAUACAUGCAAGUCGAGCGAACAGACGAGGAGCUUGCUCCUUUGACGUUAGCGGCGGACGGGUGAGUAACACGUGGAUAACCUACCUAUAAGACUGGGAUAACUUCGGGAAACCGGAGCUAAUACCGGAUAACAUGUUGAACCGCAUGGUUCAACAGUGAAAGACGGUCUUGCUGUCACUUAUAGAUGGAUCCGCGCCGCAUUAGCUAGUUGGUAAGGUAACGGCUUACCAAGGCGACGAUGCGUAGCCGACCUGAGAGGGUGAUCGGCCACACUGGAACUGAGACACGGUCCAGACUCCUACGGGAGGCAGCAGUAGGGAAUCUUCCGCAAUGGGCGAAAGCCUGACGGAGCAACGCCGCGUGAGUGAAGAAGGUCUUCGGAUCGUAAAACUCUGUUAUUGGGGAAGAACAAAUGUGUAAGUAACUAUGCACGUCUUGACGGUACCUAAACAGAAAGCCACGGCUAACUACGUG